GACGAAGGUGGCUAGCGUUGUUCGGUAUCACUGGGCUUAAAGCGUGUGUAGGCGGAAAAGUAAGCGUUUUGUGAAAUCCCCCGGCUUAACCGGGGAAUUGCUUGACGUACUGCUUUUCUUGAGGCAAGUAGGGGUGCAUGGAACUCUUGGUGGAGCGGUGGAAUGCGUAGAUAUCAAGAGGAACGCCAAUGGAGAAAUCAGUGCACUGGGCUUGUCCUGACGCUGAGACACGAAAGCGUGGGGAGCGAACGGGAUUAGAUACCCGAGUA
rnacentral:rRNA from 1 species